rnacentral:lncRNA from 1 species
GCAGGAUGACCUGUGCAAGUCAGAGAUAUCUUCUUCCAAAGCAAACAUGCCGGACAUACUGCGCCAGGCAACGCCGAUCCUUCACUCACCAGGCUGCACAUCAGACGGUUCAGGCAGGAGCUCUUUCAUGACCUGUUUGAUUUAUCAGCAAUCAAAAUAUUAUUAAAGCAAAGCCUCUUGGUCCAGCCUCGGAGGCGUUACUGCUCCCGGUAUCAGCAAGUGCAGGACAAGAACAGGCUCAUUGACGGAGGCGGAGGGCAAAGCACGCAAGUUCUCCGCAGAGGAGCUGCCAAGAGCGAGACAAAGGUGUUAUUUAAAGACGAGAGGCACAAGAGCAGGAAUUUUAAACAGGAUCUGUUCCAGACAGAGGUGUGUUUGUGUGUAACCGCACAG